GGAUAACUACCCUUUAGGACUGGGAUAACCCUGGGAAACUGGGGAUAAUACUAGAUAGGCAAUUUUUCCUGGAAUGGUUUUUUGUUUAAAUGUUUUUUCGCCUAAGGAUGGGUCUGCGGCCGAUUAGGUAGUUGGUUAGGUAACGGCUUACCAAGCCAUUGAUCGGUACGGGUUGUGAGAGCAAGAGCCCGGAGAUGGAACCUGAGACAAGGUUCCAGGCCCUACGGGGUGCAGCAGGCGCGAAACCUCCGCAAUGUGAGAAAUCGCGACGGGGGGAUCCCAAGUGCCAUUCUUAACGGGAUGGCUUUUCAUUAGUGUAAAGAGCUUUUGGAAUAAGGGCUGGGCAAGACCGGUGCCAGCCGCCGCGGUAACACCGGCAGCUCUAGUGGUAGCAGUUUUUAUUGGGCCUAAAGCGUCCGUAGCCGGUUUAAUAAGUCUCUGGUGAAAUCCUGUAGCUUAACUGUGGGAAUUGCUGGAGAUACUAUUAGACUUGAGACCGGGAGAGGUUAGAGGUACUCCCAGGGUAGAGGUGAAAUUCUGUAAUCCUGGGAGGACCGCCUGUUGCGAAGGCGUCUAACUGGAACGGUUCUGACGGUGAGGGACGAAAGUUAGGGGCGCGAACCGGAUUAGAUACCCGGGUAGUCCUAACUGUAAACGAUGCGGACUUGGUGUUGGGGUGGCUUUGAGCUGCUCCAGUGCCGAAGGGAAGCUGUUAAGUCCGCCGCCUGGGAAGUACGGUCGCAAGACUGAAACUUAA
rnacentral:rRNA from 1 species